CGUGAGUGCUUGCACUUGACGACGACCGGCGCACGGGUGCGUAACGCGUAUAGAACCUACCUUAUAGUAAGGGAUAGCCCAGAGAAAUUUGGAUUAAUACCUUAUAGUAUGAUAAGAUGGCAUCAUUUAAUCAUUAAAGAUUUAUUGCUAUAAGAUGGCUAUGCGUUCUAUUAGCUAGUUGGUAUGGUAACGGCAUACCAAGGCAACGAUAGAUAGGGGUCCUGAGAGGGAGAUCCCCCACACUGGUACUGAGACACGGACCAGACUCCUACGGGAGGCAGCAGUGAGGAAUAUUGGACAAUGGAGGCAACUCUGAUCCAGCCAUGCCGCGUGUAGGAAGACUGCCCUAUGGGUUGUAAACUACUUUUAUAGAGGAAGAAACAGUUCCACGUGUGGAACUCUGACGGUACUCUACGAAUAAGGAUCGGCUAACUCCGUGCCAGCAGCCGCGGUAAUACGGAGGAUCCAAGCGUUAUCCGGAAUCAUUGGGUUUAAAGGGUCCGUAGGCGGG
rnacentral:rRNA from 1 species